GAAGGGUUGAAUUCCAUAAUUAUGGGCCUGGCAUAUGUGGAUUUUGCCGAUGAUGCACACCUUGCUGCAGCUGUAGGAAAGAACAAACAAAUGUUUCUUGGGAAGAAGAUAAGCAUUGCAAGAUCAAAUCCGAAGCAAAAGAGAAAGGAUUCUGCUAGUCAUGGGGCCUCUAGAGAACAUGUAAUCAGACUUUCAGGGAGUCUAGAGUGCCACA